rnacentral:rRNA from 1 species
UACGAAGGGGGCUAGCGUUGCUCGGAAUCACUGGGCGUAAAGGGCGCGUAGGCGGCGUUUUAAGUCGGGGGUGAAAGCCUGUGGCUCAACCACAGAAUGGCCUUCGAUACUGGGACGCUUGAGUAUGGUAGAGGUUGGUGGAACUGCGAGUGUAGAGGUGAAACUCGUAGAUAUCGUCAGGAAUGCCGGUGGUGAAGACGGGUGACUGGGCUGGUUCUGACACUGAGGCACGAAAGCGUGGGGAGCGAACGGG